GAUGAACGCUGGCGGCGUGCCUAAUACAUGCAAGUCGAGCGAACAGACGAGGAGCUUGCUCCUCUGACGUUAGCGGCGGACGGGUGAGUAACACGUGGAUAACCUACCUAUAAGACUGGGAUAACUUCGGGAAACCGGAGCUAAUACCGGAUAAUAUAUUGAACCGCAUGGUUCAAUAGUGAAAGACGGUUUUGCUGUCACUUAUAGAUGGAUCCGCGCCGCAUUAGCUAGUUGGUAAGGUAACGGCUUACCAAGGCAACGAUGCGUAGCCGACCUGAGAGGGGUGAUCGGCCACCUUGGAACUGAGACAGGUCCCAGCCCCCUACGGGGGGCAGGAGGAGGGAAUCUUCCGCAAUGGGCAAAAGCCUGACGGGGCAACCCCGCGUGAGUGAGGAAGGUUUUCGGAUCGUAAAACUCUUUUAUUAGGAAAAAAAAAAUGUUUAAAUAACUAUGCACGUCUUGAGGGUACCAAAGAAAAAAGCCACGGCGAACUCCGG
rnacentral:rRNA from 1 species